rnacentral:lncRNA from 1 species
UUAAAAUGGAUCCUAAUGUUUCUGUGAGAACCUUCCCUUAUCUCUAAUUGGUGGAUAUCUUCUCUUUUUAUGGGAUGCAAGCUCUGUUCUAAAGUUGGAUGGAGACAAAUGUGCAUAUAGAAAACACAUACAUUUUAAAGAACCUUGUGUGUUUAAUUACAUAUAACUGUAAUUAUCAAUUUUGUUGUUGGUGGUGGUUUGUUUGUUUGUUUGCUAUCUGUUAUCACCUGUAUGGAGUAAAUUACUUUUCCAUAACUUUUUGUAAUCCAUUCCUUUUGCUAAAUUUAGUUUUGUCUUAAGUCACAUGAUAAUGCAGUGAAUGAAACCAGUUACUUCUAUGGAAAGUCAUGGUACAGUAUUUAUCUAGGCUGGAGAAUCCUAGCAGUGUCUUGCAGCAGAGAAGCCUGGAUGGGGCUUCCACUGAGAUCUGAUGAUGAUGCAUCUAGGCCACCACGCUUGUGGGGGUCACUGGAAGCAGGGAAAGAUUGGACAUAAUUCAGUGUCCUUCACAGAGAAUGGGAAAAAACACCACAUAUUUACAGCCCCCUGGGCUACAAUUCCUGUUUCUGCCAUAACAAAAUUAGUAUACAAACUUACGCAGGACAGUGUAGUAAGUACCAGUUCAGUUCUGAGGGAGUAAAUUUUACUCUUUUGAUGUUCUGACGUCAUGCUGGUCACUGUGGCAUGGGAGAUCCAUUUAUAUAUUAAGAAACAAAGCCUGAAGACGGAUCAUAGCUACACUGAAUGAUGUAAAUCACCUAAAUGGUUAAUAGAAUGUGAAAACUCCUCCCAUUUAAAGCUAUGGGAUUGCCAUAGUAAACUAAGCUAAGUAGGUGAAAUGUGCAUGGGAUCAGGACUGGAAAUGUAAAAGUGGACAAAGUUGUUGUCCUGUGCAUGGACAAAUGGAUACCAGAUGGAGUUUCUCAUACACGGUGCUAUGGGACUGCGCACCUUGCUGAUGAGGAUGUUGUCCUGCCUUGUGUGACCACUGGCUCCCAGCUUACCUUCCCCUGCAAAUCUGCCAUCUCUUGUUGCUCUUCAACAGUUAUCUCAGGUAAAGCACAAAGACCUGAGUUGAAACAGCUUCUGGAUGAAUUGGUAGAAGAUGUCUAGGUAGGUGGAGGCCCUGGGGGGAACCGGCCAAAACAAUUAGACUCCUGUGCUAUACUCACUGCCCUGGUACCACAUAGGUUUGUGUACUCCUGCACAUGCUCUCAUACCAGACCAGAAGUUUUCUCUAGCUGAAAGGUGAGAAAGUAUGGGAGGUUGUGGUGGUUUUACCAUGCUGGGCAGCUAAACACCACAACCGCUCUCUCACUCCCCCUCUUUAGAUGAGGAGGGGGAGAAGUAAAGCAAAGAACAACUCACGGGUUGAGAUAAGGAUAAUUUAAUUAAAGGGAAACAAUAAUAAUAAUUAAAGAAAGAUUAUUAUGAACUAAGCAAUUUAACUAAAGGGGAAUAAAAACGGAAAGGGGAAAAGGGAGGGGGAAAGG